UGGGGAAUCUUGGACAAUGGGCGCAAGCCUGAUCCAGCAAUGCCGCGUGGGUGAAGAAGGCCUUCGGGUUGUAAAGCCCUUUUGUUUGGGAGCAAAGCUUACCUAAUAACACUAGGUGAGGAUGAGAGUACCAAAAGAAUCAGCACCGGCUAACUACGUGCCAGCAGCCGCGGUAAUACGUAGGGUGCGAGCGUUAAUCGGAAUUACUGGGCGUAAAGCGUGCGCAGGUGGUUUUGCAAGACCGACGUGAAAGCCCCGGGCUCAACCUGGGAACGGCGUUAGUGACUGCAAGACUAGAGUGUGGCAGAGGGGGGUGGAAUUCCACGUGUAGCAGUGAAAUGCGUAGAGAUGUGGAGGAACACCGAUGGCGAAGGCAGCCCCCUGGGCUAACACUGACACU
rnacentral:rRNA from 1 species